rnacentral:rRNA from 1 species
AGUGGCGAACGGGUGAGUAACACGUGAGCAACCUGCCCUGGACUCUGGGAUAAGCGCUGGAAACGGCGUCUAAUACUGGAUAUGAGCUCUCAUCGCAUGGUGGGGGUUGGAAAGAUUUUUCGGUCUGGGAUGGGCUCGCGGCCUAUCAGCUUGUUGGUGAGGUAAUGGCUCACCAAGGCGUCGACGGGUAGCCGGCCUGAGAGGGUGACCGGCCACACUGGGACUGAGACACGGCCCAGACUCCUACGGGAGGCAGCAGUGGGGAAUAUUGCACAAUGGGCGGAAGCCUGAUGCAGCAACGCCGCGUGAGGGAUGACGGCCUUCGGGUUGUAAACCUCUUUUAGCAGGGAAGAAGCGUGAGUGACGGUACCUGCAGAAAAAGCGCCGGCUAACUACGUGCCAGCAGCCGCGGUAAUACGUAGGGCGCAAGCGUUAUCCGGAAUUAUUGGGCGUAAAGAGCUCGUAGGCGGUUUGUCGCGUCUGCUGUGAAAUCCCGAGGCUCAACCUCGGGCCUGCAGUGGGUACGGGCAGACUAGAGUGCGGUAGGGGAGAUUGGAAUUCCUGGUGUAGCGGUGGAAUGCGCAGAUAUCAGGAGGAACACCGAUGGCGAAGGCAGAUCUCUGGGCCGUAACUGACGCUGAGGAGCGAAAGGGUGGGGAGCAAACAGGCUUAGAUACCCUGGUAGUCCACCCCGUAAACGUUGGGAACUAGUUGUGGGGACCAUUCCACGGUUUCCGUGACGCAGCUAACGCAUUAAGUUCCCCGCCUGGGGAGUACGGCCGCAAGGCUAAAACUCAAAGGAAUUGACGGGGACCCGCACAAGCGGCGGAGCAUGCGGAUUAAUUCGAUGCAACGCG